rnacentral:rRNA from 1 species
GACAGAGGGUGCAAACGUUGUUCGGAAUUACUGGGCGUAAAGCGCGUGUAGGCUGCUCGGAAAGUCGGCUGUGAAAGUCCAGGGCUCAACCCUGGGAUGCCGGUCGAUACUGCCGGACUAGAGUGUCGGAGAGGAUAGGGGAAUACCCGGUGUAGAGGUGAAAUUCGUAGAGAUCGGGUGGAACACCAGUGGCGAAGGCGCCUGUCUGGCUGACAACUGACGCUGAGACUCGAAAGCGUGGGGAGCAAACAGG